UACGGAGGGUGCAGCGUUUGUCCGGAAUCAUUGGGCGUAAAGGGCGCGUAGGUGGCUUCUCAAGCGUGCGGUGAAAGCCUGGGGCUCAACCCCGGGUCGGCCGUGCGAACUGGGGGGCUGGAGCACUGUAGAGGCAGGCGGAAUUCCGGGGUGUAGCGGUGGAAUGCGUAGAGAUCCGGAAGAACACCGGUGGCGAAGGCGGCCUGCUGGGCAGUUGCUGACACUGAGGCGCGACAGCGUGGGGAGCAAACAGG
rnacentral:rRNA from 1 species